UUAGCUAGUUGGCGGGGUAAAGGCCCACCAAGGCGACGAUCCGUAGCUGGUCUGAGAGGAUGAUCAGCCACACUGGAACUGAGACACGGUCCAGACUCCUACGGGAGGCAGCAGUGGGGAAUAUUGGACAAUGGGCGCAAGCCUGAUCCAGCCAUACCGCGUGGGUGAAGAAGGCCUUCGGGUUGUAAAGCCCUUUUGUUGGGAAAGAAAUCCAUCUGGUUAAUACCCGGGUGGGAUGACGGUACCCAAAGAAUAAGCACCGGCUAACUUCGUGCCAGCAGCCGCGGUAAUACGAAGGGUGCAAGCGUUACUCGGAAUUACUGGGCGUAA
rnacentral:rRNA from 1 species